AGGACGAACGCUGGCGGCGUGCCUAAUACAUGCAAGUCGAGCGAGCGGAACUAACAGAUUUACUUCGCACAAGUGGUUAACAAAGCGAGCGCCCGAGGGUGAAUGACCUGUGCUUAAUCUUCCCCCUGGUCUGCUGUACCACUUGCAAACAGGACUAAUACCGGAUAAGAUGGUGAUCGCAUGAUCAGCUUUUAAAAGGGCCCGCAGGCUGUCACUUUGGGAUGGCCCCAAUGGGCUUUCGCUAGUUGGACAGGUAAACGGUCACCAAGGGUAUAAUGCCUCGUCGAGACUAAAAACUGAUCCGCCCCCUUGCGACUGACACCCGGGCCAAACUCCUACCGGAGGCAGCAAUCCGGAAUCUUCCACACCGCACGCAAGUCUAAUGGAUCAACGCCGCGUGCUCGAUUAACGUUUUCGGAUCGGAAACUUCUGUUGUAGGGAAAAAAAGAUCCAGGUAACUACUGGCCUUUAUUUGACGGAAAUCAACCGGAGAGUCACGGCUAACUACUUGCCGGCCGCCGCGAUAUUACAUGUGUGGUGAGCCUUCUCCGGAUUUAUUGCGCGUAUAGCCUGCGCACGUGGAAGAAUAACUCUGAUGUCUAAGCCCUCGGCUUAACCGAUGAACUGCCUGGGAAACUGUUCUUCUUGAGUGCAUAAGAGGAGAGUGCAACUCCAUGUGUACCGGUCUCUUGCGUAUAUAUGUGGAAGAACACCAGAGGCGAAGGCAGCUCUCUGGACUGCAUCUGACGCUGAGGCUCGAAAGCAUGGGUGGGCGAUAGGAGUAGAUACCCUGCCAGUCCAUGCCGGACACGAUGAACGCUAAAAGCGGCCAGGCUGGCGACUCUCACCGCUGGGCUAACGUAUAAGCACUCC
rnacentral:rRNA from 1 species